rnacentral:lncRNA from 1 species
CUAUUCACUUUAAGUGAAACCUAAUAAUCGCGUAACUUCUCCAUUCUAGCUCAUUUUCUUCUGAAACUUGACGAGUGCUUAUGUAAUUAAAUUACACACAUAAACAUCAUCAACAGAGAGUUUAGUUGCACUUUCAAAAUCUCAGUCCUUACAUAUAUAUAUUAGGAUUAGUCAAAAUUUGAUUUAAAUUAAACUCUAAGUGUAUGUAUUAGAGUCUAAUUCAGUUUCAUUUU